CCUCUGUAGAGGAAGAAGCCCUUGACAUUCCACAGCGACCAUGAGGACCAUACUUUGUCCGAUUUGCUGUAAAAUGAGUCCCUACCAUAUGCGGUCUUUACUUCUCCCCUUGCUCAAUCAGAUUUCAUCCCACCCUGCUCCUUCCCCACUUCUCUAGACUGGAGAUCUUACGGAACAGCAACCACUGACCUUCAGUGUUCCACAGAUGCAAGGACUGAAGUGCUGGGACUGCUGGAGUGCAUCAAGGGCCCAGUCCUACAGCAUCCCACCCUGCAGCGUCUCCACAGGGAAACUCUGGGGCAUCCGAGAGGAGUGUCCGUGAGGAUCCAGUAUUGAUGGUACAGCUGUCGUCAGAGGCCUCAAACCAAUGACUCACUGCAAUGAACAUUGGCAAGCAAAGACGUGUGGACAAAAGGGUGUGCUGUGUGAUACACUGUCACACUACAGCUUCCGUGACGAGAUUUUUUUUUCUUUUGUGGGAGAACCUUUCUUUUUUCUUUUCAAGAGUGGAAGGUAGGUGCACAGGGCCAGGGAGAUGGGUGGGAUUGGGACAUGAUGU
rnacentral:lncRNA from 1 species